CUUUACAUGAAAAUCUUGAGGAAACCAUUUACAUGACACAACUCCGAGGUUUUCUUGACAAAGAUUAUCCUUAUUUUGUGUGCAAACUUAAUAAGUCUUUGUAUUGUAUGGUUUAAGCAGAGUCUACGUACUUGGUUUCAACACGCCUAAGCCCAAGGACAAGGAAAGUUUGGCCUCAAACUUGUGUGCAGAGCUGAUCCCCAAAAAAAGGAAGCUUGGGGUUUGCUUCCUACUGGUACUUGGAAGGAGCAAACUGGAGAGCAUGAAUGAGACGCAGUGGUGUUGUGCUUGAUAAUAACACAAAAAAUGGAAGGCUCAGAUACUUACAGAUGCCUCGUCAAAGCGAGAAGAAGAGAAACGAAAGAUGUGGACUUCGGGGUUGGGGAGCAGCGUUGACCAAGGAUUUAUAACAAUAAGGAGCCCAGAUGAUGUCGGAGCAAGGGGGGUCUAUGGCAGAUCGAAGCAGAAAGACGAAAGGAUAAGAGCUGGGGAUGAUGAUGUAAUAAUCUGUAAUUAGAUGCAGUAUGAGUAUCUUAAUUUUUUGGGAUGGCAGUAAAGCGGAAUUCUAUGAAAUGAAUCAAUUUAUUUAACCCUUUUUACUGAA